GGAGCGCCCUACUAAUGUUACAGAAGUACGGAGUUUCCUUGAGCUAGCAGGUUAUUAUCGAUGAUUCGUAGAGGAUUUUUCCAAAAUUGCUCUUCCUUUGACUAGUUUGACUUGAAAGGACAUCAAAUUUGUGUGGAAUGAGGAACGUGAGAAGAGUUUUCAAGAGUUGAAGAAAAGGUUAACUUCUGCUCCUAUACUUACUCUUCCAUCUCCAGGUGAAGAGUUUGUGAUUUAUAGUGAUGCUUCAUGCCAAGGAUUGGGUUGCGUUCUAAUGCAAAAUGGAAAAGUUGUAGCUUAUGCUUCUAGACAAUUGAAGAAGCAUAAGUUAAAUUACCCAACUCAUGAUUUGGAGUUAGCUGCAAUAGUGUUGGUAUUGAAGAUUUGGAGACAUUACAUUUAUGGUGAGAAAUGUCAAAUAUUUACCGACCAUAAAAGUCUAAAGUAUAUCUUUGAUCAGAAGGAACUGAAUCUGAGGCAAAGAAGAUGGUUGGAGUUGAUAAAGGAUUAUGAUUGUAAGAUUGACUACCAUCCGGGGAAAGCUAAUGUAGUUGCAGAUGUUCUCAGUAGAAAGACUAGUUCUUCAUCUCCAUCCAGUGCAAUAUAUGCUUCUUUGAUUUGUGAGUUCAAGAAGUUACAUACUCAGUUGUCAGUUACUACUUCGGGGGCAAUAUUAGCUCAUUUUCAAGUGAGGCCUUCUUUGAUUGAUAAGGUUAAAGAAGCUCAAUCUCAAGACCUACCAUUGAGAACCAUGAAAGCACAAGUUAGUGUAGGGUUACGGACGGAUUAUGUGAUUAGAGAUGAUGGGUCGUUAGCUAUAGGUAAUAAAUUAUGUGUUCCAGAUAUUCCAGAAUUGAAGAAUGAAAUUUUAGAAGAGGCACAUAGUUCUGCUUAUGCUAUGCAUCUAGGUAGUAUUAAAAUGUAUCAUACAUUGAAAUAUCAUUACUGGUGGAAAGGUAUGAAGAGAGAGAUAGCAGAUUUUGUAUCCAAAUGUCUUAUAUGACAGCAGGUAAAGCCAGUUCGUCAAAAAACAGUAGGACUUUUACAGUCAUUACCUAUUCCAGAAUACAUUACUAUGGACUUCUUAUUUGGUCUUCCUCGUACUCAGAAUGGUCAUGAUGGUGUUUGGGUGAUUGUGGAUCGUUUGACCAAAAUUGCCAGAUUUUUGCCAAUCAAAAUCACUUAUUCUUUGAGUAAGUUAGCAAAGUUGUACGUGGAUGAAAUAGUUAGCUUAUAUGGUGUUCCAGUAUCUAUUGUAUCUAAUAGAGAUCCCCGAUUUACAUCCAAAUUUUGGCCUAGUUUACAGGGAGCUAUGGGUACUAAACUUCAUUUCAGCACAACUUUUCAUCCUCAGACAGAUGGUCAAUCAGAGAGGACCAUACAAACUCUUGAGGAUAUGUUGAGGGCUUGUGUUUUGGAGUUCAAAGGUAGCUGGGAUACUCAUUUGUCUUUGAUGGAGUUUGCUUAUAAUAACAGUUACCACUCCAGUAUAGAAAUGACUCCUUUUGAAGCUUUAUAUGGUAGAAAGUGUAGAACACCAGUAUGUUGGAAUAAAGUUGGUGAAAGAAAGUUAGUGGGCCCUGAUUUGGUUCAAAUGGCUUCAGAAAAUGUGAAAUUGAUUAGAGAAAAUUUGAAAAUAGCACAAGACAGACAUAAAAGUUAUGCAGAUAAGCGCAGAAAAGAUCUUGAAUUUGCAGUUGGAGAUAAAGUCUUUUUGAAAUUGUCACCUUGGAAAGGAAUGUUGAGAUUUGGCAAACGAGGAAAGUUGAGUCCACGAUAUAUUGGACCUUAUCAGGUUACUGAGCGGAUUGGGCCGGUUGCAUAUCGAUUAGAUUUGCCAGAUGAAUUAUCUCGGAUCCAUGAUGUUUUUCAUGUUUCUAUGCUUCGUAAGUAUAUUGUAGAUCCUUCUCAUGUUCUAGAGUCUCAACCAGUUCUAUUGAACAAGAAUUUGACUUACGUAGAAGAACCAUUGAGAAUUUUAGACAAAAAUGUGCAAAUGCAGCUAAACAAGAUAGUUUCACUUGUUAAAGUACUUUGACAGAAUCAAACAGUAGAAGAGGCUACAUGGGAGAAUGAGGAUCAUAUGCGUGCUCAAUAUCCUCAUUUAUUCAUUGCCUAAUCAGUUGCCAGCUGAAUUUCGAGGACGAAAUUAUUUUAAGGGGGUAAGAUUGUUACAACCCAAAUUUUUCUAGUCAAAAUUCAAAUGUUGACUAGUCAAAGUCAAAAUCAAUUAAGGACUAAAAUGAAAUUAAAUAUUUUAUUGGGGUUUAUUUUAUAAUUAGCCAUAUAUGA
rnacentral:lncRNA from 1 species